rnacentral:rRNA from 1 species
CCUACGGGUGGCAGCAGUGAGGAAUAUUGGUCAAUGGCCGAGAGGCUGAACCAGCCAAGUCGCGUGAGGGAAGACGGCCCUACGGGUUGUAAACCUCUUUUGUCGGGGAGCAACGCGACCCACGUGUGGUUCCUUGAGAGUACCCGAAGAAAAAGCAUCGGCUAACUCCGUGCCAGCAGCCGCGGUGAUCCGGCGUAUGCGAGCGUUAUCCGGAUUUAUUGGGUUUAAAGGGUGCGCAGGCGGGGGUGCAAGUCAGCGGUCCACUUGCGGGGCUCAACCCCGUACUGCCGUUGAAACUGCAUCCCUUGAGUGCGCGAGAAGUAUGCGGAAUGCGUGGUGUAGCGGUGAAAUGCAUAGAUAUCACGCAGAACUCCGAUUGCGAAGGCAGCAUACCAGCGCGCAACUGACGCUCAUGCACGAAAGCGUGGGUAUCGAACAGGAUUAGAUACCCUAGUAGUC